rnacentral:rRNA from 1 species
GUAGGUGGCAAGCGUUGUCCGGAAUUAUUGGGCGUAAAGCGCGCGCAGGUGGUUCUUUAAGUCUGAUGUGAAAGCCCCCGGCUCAACCGGGGAGGGUCAUUGGAAACUGGGGAACUUGAGUGCAGGAGAGGAAAGUGGAAUUCCACGUGUAGCGGUGAAAUGCGUAGAUAUGUGGAGGAACACCAGUGGCGAAGGCGACUUUUCUGGCCUGUAACUGACACUGAGGCGCGAAAGCGUGGGGAGCAAACAGGGAUUAGAUACCCUGGUAGUCCACGCCGUAAACGAUGAGUGCUAAGUGUUGGGGGGGUUUCCGCCCCUCAGUGCUGCAGCUAACGCAUUAAGCACUCCGCCUGGGAGUACGGUCGCAAGACUG